UUCUCUCUCUUAUCUUCUUCCAAAACUUGGAUCUGGUUUUCCUCCUCUGAGCUCUCUUUUUCCUUCUGUUCUUCUCCACUGCAGAAGUUUGCUUCUCUUAUCUUCUCUCCAUUCUCGUCUAUCUCGUAUGUAACAAUCACUAUUCUUAAGUUUACACUCAUCUAUUAAUGGUUUUUUCUUCUUCUUUUGCUUUGCAGGAUCUAAAGGAGUCAAUCGAAGGAUCUAAAGGAGUAAACUUGAAGGAUCUAAAGGAAUAAACUUUCAGGUACUUAUUGUUGCUUGAAUGAAUUUUUACCGUUGCAGAACUUCAAGCAGCAAUGCAACGGUAGCUGUUUUGGAGGCUCUUGUUGCUCAUCAUGAACUGGGAACUCCCAACACGGUUACCCCAUCGUCUGUCGCAGAGAUCAGGAACAGUCGAUGAAUGGAAGAUCUUAGUGCAACUUAAGCCUGGACUUGAGAAAGAGCGUGAUCCCAUGGUUGGAAUUAUGGACUUGAUGAAGGUCUCUGUCUCCCCCUCUCCCUCUCAUACCAUGAUGGUGAUGGAGACCGUGACUCUAUGAAAAGAAUGCAAGUGUAGGGAUUAGAAGUGUCUCCUUUCAAUGCUUUUAAUUCUUAAUUUUCUUUUUGUACCAGUUUAGCACUUUCGAUUGGGAAGCAUAUUUUCUCCUUUCAAUGCAAGUGUAGGGAUUAGAAGUGUCUCCUUUCAAUGCUUUUAAUUCUUAAUUUUCUUUUUGUACCAGUUUAGCACUUUCGAUUGGGAAGCAUAUUUUCUUUUAAAUCUUAGUCCUUGCUUUAAAUUUUUUUCUGUCCAACCAUGUACUAGAAAUACCAAUUUGGAGUAUUGGUAUCUGUUUAACUAAUUCAGGAAUUUUGGACGCAGUGAUUUGUGGCCUGGCCAACUUCUAUAGUGUAAGUACUGGGUAGCACCAUUGAUUUAAGGAGCCUAAUUGAUGAACGAACGAAAAAAAUGUCCAGAUAUAAUUUAUGAUUUGCUGUGGGAUUGCAAUUGUUCACCGGAGAACAGGAGCUCGGAAAGGUACGGAAAAUUGCUGAUGGUGGUGACGGUUUGGCUGUGCUUACAGAACAGGGUUUGAUGCUUUAGCAGUUGCAGUUGCAAGAUAUUAUUGAGAUUAAGGUGCAUCUGGAGUGCGAAAACAAAGAUACAUAGAGGUUAGUUGGUGGUAUUUUGAUGCAUAGGUACAUAUACUAUGUUGCUUUCGAAGGCAGACUUUCUUCAAAAGUAUUUUAUACCAUCAGGUGUGUUCUUAUCAUGUCCCAAACUUUUCACAGGCACUUUAGAUGUUGAUAAUCUUAGUUACCAGAUUUUUGAACUCUCUGGGUGUUGUUCCGCUGCCCGGAUUUAUGUUUUUUACACAAUUAAACAUCUUACUGUCGGAUAUGUAAGUUUCUAUGGUGCAUCAAUGUAAAACUUUGUUAUGAAUGGUAUAAGUUUGUGUGAA